GUGCCCUCCACUGUCGCCGGAUUGCUUCGGCGCCGCCCGACGGUAACCCAGCGCAGGCGAGAGGGGGCGAGCCAUUGGGCGAUGGGGGAGAGCAUCGACGCCUAAACCACUCGCGCGAUUCAUGGCUGAAAAAUUUUCUUCAUGGCGUUGAUCUGGCCUUGGUAAGCUGAAACCGCUCGCUUGUGCCGUGUUCGCUAGGUUUCUAACGAUUGAGGAAGUUAUCAAUGAUGAUUUCCAAGGGAUGAUGGUUGGAGAAAGAUUUCAUUUUGUUACACGUUGUCGAGCAUCAGUUUAUGAACUCGUGUAUCGUUUUCAUUGUUAUUUUCCGUUAGACACUGUUUGAUGGCUGGGCAGCCAUGACUAUGGAUAGGGUUUAAUAGGACGCUCCUUCGUGCUCCAUGUGUGUAUGUCCUGUGACUGACUCGUGCAAAUCACCAAGCUCUAUUUCUUGUUUGCAUGUUCUAGCAGUA